rnacentral:rRNA from 1 species
UACGAAGGGGGCUAGCGUUGCUCGGAAUCACUGGGCGUAAAGCGCACGUAGGCGGAUUGUUAAGUCAGGGGUGAAAUCCUGGAGCUCAACUCCAGAACUGCCUUUGAUACUGGCGAUCUUGAGUCCGGGAGAGGUGAGUGGAACUCCGAGUGUAGAGGUGAAAUUCGUAGAUAUUCGGAGGAACACCAGUGGCGAAGGCGACUUCCUGGCCUGUUCUUGACGCUGAGGCGCGAAAGCUGGGGGAGCAAACGGG